ACGGUUAUAAAUCAACAUAUUGAUUUAUAAGCAUGGAAAUCCCCUGAGUGAAACAACGAAUUGCUGUGUGUAGUCUUUGCCCAUCUCCCACUGACGGGGAUGGUCUUUUUAG
rnacentral:other from 1 species